CAAGUUCAAAGACAAGAUGCAGCCAUACUGCCUCAAAUCGGGCAAUUUAAAAAACGACUGGGAUCGGGGAAUCAAGUAAUAGAAAAGGGGAGAAUUAUCAAGACUACAAACACAAUUCCGAUUUCAACUUCAGGGGAAAGUAGCUCCGUUGUUGAGAUGGAAACAAAUCAGAUUGAUACCGAAGAACUUCAAGGUGAACAUGGUAUGUGUGGUGCUUCAUUCAAAGAAUACUGGGACAUCGGAGAUCCGAUAUACACAUGUAAAUUUUGUGGUGCAAUGUUGUGGUACGAAGAAAGACUUGAGAAACGGAAAAAUUCUAAAAACCCAAAAUUCUCAUUGUGUUGUAUGCAAGGGAAAGUCCAAC